GAGUUUGAUCCUGGCUCAGGACGACGCCUGGCGGCGUGCCUAACACAUGCAAGUCGAACGGAGUAUUCAGCAAUGGAUACUUAGUGGCGAACGGGUGAGUAACGCGUAGAUAAUCUGCUUCAAAGAUGGGGACAACACUUGGAAACGAGUGCUAAUACCGAAUGUGGUAUCUUGUGUGCAUACACGAGAUAAAAAAGAUGGCCUCUGAAUAUGCUAUCGCUUUGAGAUGAGUCUGCGUCUGAUUAGCUAGUUGGAGAGGUAAAAGCUCACCAAGGCGACGAUCAGUAGCCGGUCUGAGAGGAUGAACGGCCACACUGGGACUGAGACACGGCCCAGACUCCUACGGGAGGCAGCAGUGGGGAAUCUUCCGCAAUGGACGAAAGUCUGACGGAGCAACGCCGCGUGAGUGAAGAAGGUCUUCGGAUUGUAAAGCUCUGUCAACUAGGACGAAUGUGUGAUUUGUGAAUAAUGAAUCAUAAUGACGGUACUAGAGAAGGAAGCCACGGCUAACUACGUGCCAGCAGCCGCGGUAAUACGUAGGUGGCGAGCGUUGUCCGGAAUUAUUGGGCGUAAAGAGCGCGUAGGCGGGUAGAUAAGUCUGUUUUAAAAGUGCGGGGCUCAACCCCGUGAUGGAAUGGAAACUGUUUAUCUUGAGUACCGGAGAGGAAAGUGGAAUUCCCAGUGUAGCGGUGAAAUGCGUAGAUAUUGGGUGGGACACCAGUGGCGAAGGCGACUUUCUGGACGGUGUCUGACGCUGAGGCGCGAAAGCCAGGGAGGGGCCCUUUAAAGGGAUACCCNNGGUAAUANAAGGCAAANAANGGGAGCGCCUUNUAUGGUGUAGAGNGGUAUCGACCCCUUCUGUGCCGGAGUAAGCCCAAUAAGUCCCCCGCCUGGGGAGUACGGCCGCAAGGUUAAAACUCAAAGAAAUUGACGGGGGCCCGCACAAGCGGGGGAGUAUGUGUUUUAAUUCGACGCAACGCGAAGAACCUUACCAGGACUUGACAUUGAGUGAAAGUUUAAGAGAUUAGAGCCUCUCCUUCGGGAGACACAAAAACAGGUGGUGCAUGGCUGUCGUCAGCUCGUGUCGUGAGAUGUUGGGUUAAGUCCCGCAACGAGCGCAACCCUUAUCCUAUGUUGCCAGCGAGUAAAGUCGGGAACUCAUGGGAGACUGCCGCAGACAAUGCGGAGGAAGGCGGGGAUGACGUCAAGUCAUCAUGCCCCUUAUGUCCUGGGCUACACACGUACUACAAUGGGCUUUAAUAGAGGGAAGCAAGACCGCGAGGUGGAGCGAACCCCAAAAACAAGCUCUCAGUUCGGAUCGCAGGCUGCAACUCGCCUGCGUGAAGUCGGAAUCGCUAGUAAUCGCAGAUCAGCAUGCUGCGGUGAAUACGUUCCCGGGCCUUGUACACACCGCCCGUCACACCACGA
rnacentral:rRNA from 1 species